UCCGUCCAGCUAGUCGCAUUCAAACCGCGAGAUCGAGCACAUGUUCCGUCUUGCCGAUCGUUCGUUCGUUCGUUUGCUUUUCCACUUCGUUCUGCGUCGUAGUUCGAAAACAACAAACUUGUCGGUAGGCUCGAGCGCGCCGCUAUCACCGGGUCAUGCCGUUAUGGUAAUCGUGGAGUCGUCGAGAGAGUGAUAACAAAUCGUGUCGAACCAACGUAGUGAAAAAUAAAGAAUCAAAAAACCAAACCGGUGAAUUGAACGGGAAACUGCAUUCUGAACGUAUGUAUGCUGUGCAAUGCUGCGAAACAAGUGAAAUUAAUGGUAAUUAAACCUCAAUUGAAUGUGCAUCGCCCCUCGGCUCCACCACCAUGCUGGUGAUACCCAACAGAGUGUGAGU